CCAGACUCCUACGGGAGGCAGCAGUGGGGGAUAUUGCACAAUGGGGGGAACCCUGAUGCAGCGACGCCGCGUGGGUGAAGAAGCGCCUCGGCGCGUAAAGCCCUGUCAGCAGGGAAGAAAAUGACGGUACCUGAAGAAGAAGCUCCGGCUAACUACGUGCCAGCAGCCGCGGUAAUACGUAGGGAGCAAGCGUUAUCCGGAUUUAUUGGGUGUAAAGGGUGCGUAGACGGGAAAUUAAGUUAGUUGUGAAAUCCCUCGGCUCAACUGAGGAACUGCAACUAAAACUGGUUUUCUUGAGUGUUGGAGAGGAAAGCGGAAUUCCUAGUGUAGCGGUGAAAUGCGUAGAUAUUAGGAGGAACACCAGUGGCGAAGGCGGCUUUCUGGACAAUAACUGACGUUGAGGCACGAAAGUGUGGGGAGCAAACAGGAUUAGAUACCCUAGUA
rnacentral:rRNA from 1 species